UACAGAUAUUUUAUAUUCAUUUUUUUAAAUUGUGUUUUUCAUUGAGAUUUGACUGGUACAACCAAACAGCUACUAAGACGUUGAAAUAUUUUAGCACAAUGAAUAGAACGCGAAUUGUGGAUCGUUUCAUUAUUGUUUGUUACUUUUGAAAAUGAAAAAAAAAACUAUUUUCUUCUCUCUGACAUUUCAUAUUUUUCACCUUUUCUACUGUACUCCGCAGAUAUAUAUUUAUAAAUUUAUCGGCUUAAAAGAAACCAUGAAAUGAAAACCGACAUCCAUUUAUCGUAUUUUUCGCCGUAGCAUUCAUACGCUCGUCCGCUCACUCACUCACACUUGUUUCAUUCUCAUGUAACGCCACACAAUGCACAAUACUCAAGUUCGAUGCAAUUACGGCGUACAAUUCGAGCCGUGUGGCUCUCGCACAAUAUUUUAGUUAGACCAUUUUUUUAGUCCCACACACAUUGAAAGGCAUACCGACACCGGGAGAUAGAGUGAGAUAGAGGUUUUUCAAAUUGCAUUUACACAACUCCUUGUUUCCUUGUGUUGUGUGUUCGUUAAUAUUUUUUAGUUUAUUAAAUCGUCGAUAAAAUGGAACGACCCAAACUGAUCUUUUUUGCUCUACGAACAUUUGCGAUAACAUUUUCCUUCCAAAUGCGGCAGAUGAAAUAUUGUCGUAAUUGGAAAAGUCAAAUGCGAAAAACGGUACAUAAAUAAUGCCAGAGAGAAAUAGCGACUUUGAAUCGUAUUAUGGCUGCAGAAAUGCUGGGCACAAAAAAAUAGAAACUAAUCUCAAGCAACUCUUGAUGCAUUUAAAUGUGUAUGUUAUCUUUUCUUCUCCGAUUUAUAUUGGUGCUUAGUAGCCACGCACAUAGGUCCAUUGUCUAUUCAUGCUACAUCCAAAUGCCGGAUGAUAAUCAUCCAUGAACAAAUUGCAAAUUGCCGAGUGUACUUGGAAUAUCUAUUUUUCUUAUUUGCGAUCGAAACUUAAUUGCUGGGCUAUAAAUUUUGCGUGAAGAUUUAUACCGAUGCUCGAAAAAUACGGUGUACUGGAAAAUACUCCCGAACAAAUAUUCGUCUAUGGCUUUAGUGUAAUCAACGAGUUUCGAGCCGAAAGGUGAGCACCAAACACAUAGCAAAAAAGGCAGCACCAAAAAUGCACGUUAGCAAUGCUGUACUCCUACCAUGUGCAUUGCAUUUGCACAUGUACUCAACUUUAUUUAAUAGGCAAUGGGUUUGCAUUUGCCGAUGUCAUCCAUCGAUAGAUCGUAUUCACAAAUGUGAAUAGAAUCACAUUUUCUCUGUUUUAGGUUAGUUUUUACGUCGUAGCCGAGACAAAAUAGAAAUCAACAUGAGAUAGUCAUCAUUACUUUAUUUAUGGAAAAAAAUAUUUCCGAACUUUAGAUCGUUCGAUCGAUAGUGAGUGAGAAACAGGCCCUGGAAUUCUAGUUGUCGGCGUCUAUCGUUCAACUCUUGCGAACAAAUAAUGAGACGGUAACUUUCCAACAACAACAAUAACAAAAAUGCAGGGCUGCAACGUAACACACAAGCCCCAGCACACGACCGUACACUCCAUAUCCAUUCAUUCGAAAAGUGCAUCUCAUUCCCAAUCGAAAAUGGUAUUAUAUUGUAUUGCAUUGAAUAUACCAGCCACAUACAAAACAGUUGGUAACAAUAAACCUUCUUUUUUUCCAAAACGAUCAUUUAACCACACAUUGAACGCUUCGGCAUCAAGCUAUUCGCGUUUCGUUUUGCGUGCCUUUUAAUUGUGCGGCGCGAUAAAAGUAGUAAUAAUCUGUCUCUGACAAGUGAAAGUAAAAAUGUGCUCUCUGUGCCCACACGAUCUGUAACGCAUAUCGGGUUUGUAACAUUGUUCACAACGGGAAUGGCAUUAUGUGAGAACAAACAAAACGAUGAUUUUCAUUUUGCGAAACCAAGCCACAGCAGCAGCAGCAACAACAACAACAACAACAACAACGAAUCAUCAAGUCUUUUUUAUGUAAUUUGUAGCUGUGUGUCGUGUGCUACUGCAACUGCUCUCCGCUUUUAAGGUUAUUUGGUCAUUGAACUCACGACUCAAACGAUAUACAUUACCUUUCUCUGUCUUCUUUUCUUUCAAACGAGCUCAUUUACGGGUGCCACUUCUACUAUUCGCACCCAACGCCAAACUAACGACUUAGCUGUUUGUCGUUCGCUGCUCUUUUUUCAUAUUCACUAUAUUUCUAUUUUACAAAAUAUAUCUAAGUGCGAGUCUAAACAGUGCAGCUACUUAUCUCUAUUAAUUAUUCAAGCGAGCGUGAAAGAGAGAAAGAGCGAGAGAGCGCGAAUUUUAUUUUUCACAAUUUAAAAUGUUUUUUUCUGUUAUUGUCAUAGAUCAUGUCUUUCGUUGAAAGACCUACAAACACUAAGCACAAGGUAUUGAUCGAGUACGUUGAACUACAAAGAAAAUGUGUAUGUGUGGAAAAUUUGCAAAUUUGCUAUAGAAAACUGACCCACAACAACAUUGCACAUGUUAUUUAUAGAAUGAGCUACGUUUUCUGUGGCACCCUGUGAACUGCCUACGUGCAAAAUCACAUCUAAUCUUCUUGUUUUGUAUGCUGAAACAAACACGCCAAACGAUAUACGUGCAAAUGGUCGCAGUCGACAGUGCGAUAGUGUGUAUAUAUGCACGCAAUGCAUUCGACAAAAUACACAUAGGCAUUCAAGGCUUUGAAGGCAAGCGCAUAUCAAUUCGAUAUUUUCUUGCUGUUCAAUUUGAAGCUAGACAUUCUAAUGCACAACUUGGCAUAUGUAUCGCAAUUUGAAACCUCAAUCGAAUCACACCAAACAAUUGAAUUAUAUUGGAGUGGCUUUAAAAAUUGUUUGAUUUAUUUGUUGUAUGUGUCUGUAUGUGUAUACUUUUUCCAUAGUUUUUUUUGAAAAGAAAAAAAAACAUGCAAAA